rnacentral:rRNA from 1 species
GGCUAACGCUGGCGGCGUGUCUUAGCCAUGCAAGUCGAGCGGACUUAUGGGGUAACUUAUAAGUCAGCGGCGGACGGCGGAGUAACACGUAGCUAACCUACCCUCUGGACGGGGAUAACCUACCGAAAGGUGGGCUAAUACCCGAUGUAGUCAUCCUGUAUAGGGGUGAUGAAAGGUGGGCUUCUGUUUACAAGCUCAUGCUGGAGGAGGGGGCUGCGGCCUAUCAGGUAGUUGGUAGGGUAAUAGCCUACCAAGCCGAUGACGGGUAGCCGGCCUGAGAGGGUGACCGGCCCGAGGGGCACUGAGAUACGGGUCCCACUCCUACGGGAGGCAGCAGGCUAGAAAUUUGGGCAAUGGGGGAAACCCUGACCCAGUGACGCCGCGUGCAGGAAGGAGCCCUUCGGGGUGUAAACUGCUGUCGUGUAGGGAGAAGGGUACUAAGGUGAACAAUCUUAGUACUUGACGGUACUACAGGAGGAAGCCCAGGCUAACCUCGUGCCAGCAGCCGACGGUAAAAUAGCGUACU